UCAAGGAAGAAAGGGCGUACGGAGAAUGCCUGGGCACAGAGAGGCGAUGAAGGACGCAGCGAACAGCGAAAUGCGGCGGCGAGCGGUAAGCACGCGAUGACCCGCCGAUAUCCGAAUGGGGAAACCCCUCCGCUUUCGAAGCGGAGACCGCAUGACGACCGUCAUGACGGGGCAAUACGCAGGGAACUGAAACAUCUAAGUACCUGCAGGAAGAGAAAGAGAAGUCGAUUCCGUAAGUAGCGGCGAGCGAAAGCGGAGGAGCCCAAACCGGACGAAGUCCGGGGUUGUAGGACCGCCGGUAAAGAUGACAUGAAGAGUCAGGAGAAUCCCAUGGGAAGGGGAUCCGAAGAGGGUGAGAGACCCGUAUCCGAAGGCUUGACAUGCGUCGAGGCGGCACCUGAGUACGGCGGGGCACGUGGAAUCCUGCCGGAAUCAUCGGGGACCAUCCCGAAAGGCUAAACACUACUCUGUGACCGAUAGCGAACCAGUACCGUGAGGGAAAGGUGAAAAGAACCCCGGGAGGGGAGUGAAAGAGAACCUGAAACCGUAUGUCUACAAGCAGUCGGAGCGAAAGCGACGGCGUGCCUAUUGAAGAAUGAACCAACGAGUUACGUGCACUAGCGAGGUUAAGUGGAAGACACGGAGCCGAAGCGAAAGCGAGUCUUAAGAGGGCGGAUAGUUAGUGUACGUAGACCCGAAACCGCAGUGAUCUACCCAUGUCCAGGUUGAAGCGCAGGUAAAAUUGCGUGGAGGACCGAACCUGUGAGCGUUGAAAAGCUUUAGGAUGAGAUGUGGGUAGAGGUGAAAUUCCAAUCGAACGCGGAGAUAGCUGGUUCUCCCCGAAAUAGCUUUAGGGCUAGCCUCAAGUAGUAAGUAUAGGCGGUAGAGCACUGAUCGGGCUAGGGGCCAUAAAGGUUACCGAACCCUGUCAAACUCCGAAUGGUUAUACUGUAGAGCUUGGGAGUCAGACUACGAGUGAUAAGAUCCGUGGUCAAAAGGGAAACAGCCCAGACCACCAGCUAAGGUCCCCAAUGUCGUACUAAGUGGAAAAGGAUGUGGGGUCUCUAAAACAACCAGGAUGUUGGCUUAGAAGCAGCCACCAUUUAAAGAGUGCGUAAUAGCUCACUGGUCGAGAGACCCUGCGCCGAAGAUUACCGGGGCUAAAGUACGAAACCGAAGCUGUGGCUACGACGUAAGUCGUGGGGUAGGGGAGCGUUCUGUGAGGGCUGAAGUCGUUCUGUAAGGAACGGUGGACUUCACAGAAGUGAGAAUGUUGGUAUGAGUAGCGAAAAGAAUGGUGAGAAUCCAUUCCACCGAAAGCAUAAGGAUUCCUGGGCAACGAUCGUCGUCCCAGGGUAAGUCGGGACCUAAUCCGAGGCAUGGAGCGUAGGAGAUGGACAACUGGCAGAUAUUCCAGUACCGGUAAUGAUUGUUUGAGCGAUGGAGUGACACAGGAGGGCAGGCAGGCAGGAGAUUGGUUGUUCCUGUACAAGCGUGUAGGGUGGAACGUAGGCAAAUCCGCGUUCUGUGAGCCUGAGGCGUGAUGUGGAGGUUCCGGAAACGGAACCGAAGCUGCUGACCCCACACUGUCGAGAAAAGCUUCUAGUUAGAGAAUUACCGCCCGUACCGUAAACCGACACAGGUAUGCGGGGAGAGAAUCCUAAGGUGCGCGGGAGAACCCUCGUUAAGGAACUCGGCAAAAUGUACCCGUAACUUCGGGAUAAGGGUAGCCGCUGUUGUGAAGUCUGAACAGACGGAGCAUGAGGCGGUCGCAGAGAAGAGGCCCAAGCGACUGUUUACCACAAACACAGGUGCCUGCUAAAGAGAAAUCUGACGUAUAGGUGCUGACACCUGCCCAGUGCCGGAAGGUUAAGGAAGGAUGUCCGGAGCAAUCCAAAGCAUUCGACCGAAGCCCCGGUGAACGGCGGCCGUAACUAUAACGGUCCUAAGGUAGCGAAAUUCCUUGUCGGGUAAGUUCCGACCCGCACGAAAGGUGUAACGAUUUGGGCACUGUCUCAACGAGGGACCCGGUGAAAUUGAAGUACCUGUGAAGAUGCAGGUUACCCGCGACUGGACAGAAAGACCCCAUGGAGCUUUACUGUAACCUGAGAUUGGAUUCCGGUAAGAGAUGUACAGGAUAGUUGGGAGGCAGAGAAGUGAGUACGCCAGUAUUCACGGAGCCAUUGGUGGGAUACCAACCUUGUUUUAUUGGAAUUCUAACGAGAAGCGUAACGAGCUUGCGGACAGUCUCAGGCGGGCAGUUUGACUGGGGCGGUCGCCUCCGAAAGAGUAACGGAGGCGCCCAAAGGUUCCCUCAGCGCGGACGGAAACCGCGCGAAGAGUGCAAAGGCAGAAGGGAGCUUGACUGCGAGACGGACAGGUCGAGCAGGGACGAAAGUCGGGCUUAGUGAUCCGGUGGUAGAGAGUGGAAUUGCCAUCGCUCAACGGAUAAAAGCUACCCUGGGGAUAACAGGCUUAUCUCUCCCAAGAGUCCAUAUCGACGGGGAGGUUUGGCACCUCGAUGUCGGCUCAUCACAUCCUGGGGCUGAAGUAGGUCCCAAGGGUUGGGCUGUUCGCCCAUUAAAGUGGUACGCGAGCUGGGUUCAGAACGUCGUGAGACAGUUCGGUCCCUAUCCAUCGCGGGCGUAGGAAAUUUGAAGGGAGCUGACCCUAGUACGAGAGGACCGGGUUGGACAGACCGCUGGUGAACCAGUUGUCCUGCCAAGGGCAUAGCUGGGUAGCUAAGUCUGGAAAAGAUAAACGCUGAAAGCAUCUAAGCGUGAAGCGAACCUUAAGAUGAGAUUUCCAAGUAGCAAUACGAGAGACACCAGAGAGAAUAACUGGUAGAUAGGUCAGGAGUGUAAGUGUGGUGACACAUUGAGCGGACUGAUACUAAUAAGUCGAGCACUUAGCCAA
rnacentral:rRNA from 1 species